CUGUUUGUUCGAUUGGCGUUUGUGACUGAAUCCAUCGAAGUUACUAAUUAUUUGAAGAAAUCUGGGGAGUCAGCACCCUGCUGAAUUGUAGUAAACGAAGACGUCCAAUCUACUAGACCAUCAAAGAUGCAGAUUUGGAUUUUCUAUUUCAUAGUUAUUGAAAUCAUAAUGAGAAUGAAGUACUGCCACUAAGGUAAAGCUUGCAAGGAGCUGUUCUCAAAACAUUGGGUGACAAAGAAUUCACUUUUACAAAAAUCGAGCAGGAUAUUAAAGACAGCGAACUAUAGAACAAAUAUGGCGAAGCUGCAAUGAAGUCUAUGUUGAAUUUUAUUAUUGA